rnacentral:rRNA from 1 species
AAUAUUAACUUCACUACCCUGAACAUGCCCAAUCACAUCUGAUCUCGGAAGCUAAGCAGGGUAGGGCCUGGUUAGUACUUGGAUGGGAGACCACCUAGGAAGACCAGGUGCUGUAAGCA